rnacentral:lncRNA from 1 species
CAGAGCCCCGCCGGGGCCGAAGGAGCGAGGGAGUUGCAUUGUGGGAAGGGCGCAGCAUGAGGAUGGCCGCGGGAGUGGCAGGUCCGAGCGCAGCCCGGAGAGCCGCGGGCAGCGCCUGGGACUACGGGCAGCGUUGGAGCGGAGGGCUGGCCCUGGGCACAGCCUGCAGAUGGCCCGGGUUGGCGGGAAGGGGACCGAAGUGGCAGGGGCGGCGGGGAGCUCGGGCACCUUUAAAAACCCUUUGUCCCUAACCUGAAGCGGGAGGCACCUCCCCUCUUCCGGAUCCAGCACCCGCAGACCUGGUCAGCCCUUCCUGAGAUCUGCCCUGUGGAGCUCUGCUUUGGGGACUGGGUGUGAGGUGAACCAGAAGGAUUUGCUGAGCACCGAGAAAGCACCGGCCUAGGCGCAAAGAGCCGGGGGCCAGCUCUUGGAGGGCCUGGAGACCCCACGUGGUCCCGACCGAAGGACCUGUGGACAUCCAAAGGUGAUACAGCUGGAAAAAGGAUCUUCAUCCAAGACAAAGAGAAACAAAGUCGAUAGGAAAGUGAUGAAAGGCAUCAAGCAAAGUGAAGAUGCAAAUGAGAAAACAAGAUCAGAAGACAGGAAUAUCUGAAACAAGUCACAAAUGCAUAGUAUGACCUCUCAGGUAAGGACCAGGGCUGGAUCAUCCCAGGAUGUUCAAGGCAUACUCUCAGGGGGCGCUGUGUUAUACUGAGAUCUUGCUAGGCAAAAACAUGGUUUUUGUCUUUUCUGUUGAAAAGGUACCUUUUGGGAGGCCAGGCGCGGUGGCUUACUCCUGUAAUCCCAGCACUUUGGGAGGCUGAGGCGGGCGGAUCACCUGAGGUAGGGAGUUCAAGACCAGCCUGACCAACAUGGAGAAACCCCUUCUCUACUAAAAAUACAAAAUUAGCCAGGUGUGGUGGCACAUGCCUGUAAUGCCAGCUACUUGGGAGGCUGAGGCAGGAGAAUCGUUUAAACUCAGGAGGUGGAGGUGGCGGUGAGCCGAGAUCAUGCCAUUGCACUCCAGCUUGAGCAAAAAGAGCAAAAUUCCGUCUCAAAAAAAAAAAAAAAAAAGAAAGAGAAAGAAAGAAAAAGAAAAGAAAAGGUACCUUUUGGGAAGAAGCAUUAAAAAAAUUUUUUUUUUCCGCUGGCAGUAUUUAGGAAGAAGAAUUCUAUUUAUUACUUCAGUAGAGUAACAUGCUUUACUAAAAUAAGCUUCCAUUCUACAUGGUUUUUUUUUUUUUUUUUUAGACAGAGUCUCACUCUGUUGCCCAGGCUGGAGUGCAGUGGUGCGAUCUCGGCUCACUGCAACCUCUGCCUCCUGGGUUCGAGUGUUUCUCCUGCCUCAGCCUCCCGAGUAGCUGGGACUACAGGAGUACACCACCACACCCGGCUAAUUUUUGUAAUUUUAGUAGAGACGGGGAUUUCACCAUAUUGGUCAGGCUGGUCUCGAACUCCUGACCUCAGGUGAUCCACCUGCCUUGGCCUCCCAAAGUGCUGGGAUUACAGGCAUGAACCACUGCGCCUGGCCCAUGAUUGUUCUUAAAAUAAGAAACACCACAUAAUAUUCAGUGUUCCUUAUUUUGAAGGGCUCUUUAUUUGGUUAUAUUUUAGGCAUAUGAAGCUAUUUCAUAAUCCCAAAAGGGGUAUUUAAUGAGAUUUAGAAUUGAUAGUCUUCUGUUGAUAUAUAUUUAUAGUUAUUUAUACACAUAUUUGUAUGUUCUUAAAAUAAAAUGUUCAAAGUUUUUGAUUCAAAUGUAACAUGUCUAAAAUUGAAAUCAUUGUUUUUUUGUUUUUUUUUUUUCACAACUCAAACCCUCUUCUUUUCCCAUAAACACCAUAUUGGGAAAUGGCACCACCAUGGGCAUAGUUGCUCAAGCUAGAAGGAUGGGGGUAUUUUGGCUCAUCCCCUUCACUCUUCACAUCUAAUUAAUUCCCUCUUUUGAGUAACAUUUACUAAGUGCCAGGCCUUCUGCUAGUCUUUCGUGAAGCUUGGAGUUAGAGUGAGAGACCGAUAUUACUCAAAUGAUCUUGCCAGUGAAUGUACAAGUUACAGGUGGAGAUAAGUGCUCUGCAGAAAGGAGCAUGACUCUUGUGAGAGAAACAGAAGACCAUGUUCUGAACUGGGAAUCAAGGAAGACUUCCCUGAGGACGUGACCCUUGUUUGGACUCUAUUCUGUUUAUGCUAAGGAUUUUAAUAAGGAGCAGGUGAUGGACAUGAUCCAGCGUACAUUUUUAGAGGAAUAUCAUGAGUCCUAUCACUUCAUCUCCUAAAUAUUUCUGACAUCUGUUCUCUUUCCUCCAUCCUCACGACCUUCACUGGCAUGGGCCUCCAACAGCUCACUGUGGGGGAAGUUUCCCUCAAAGGGCACUGAUAACACAUCUUAUUAAAACUAUACCACAUCAUUAUACCUCCCCAACAUAAUAUGUACAUGUAUGUAUUUGACAAUAAUAUAUAUGUAUUACUGUCCUAUUUAUUAUAUACAUUAAAAACAUUCACAAAAAAUUAAAAAUCCAAAUGGUAAGAUUUUACAUUUUUGAUUUGAUAACAAUACUUUAUUAUAUUACUAAACAUAUAUUCCUAAUUGUCACUAAGAUAUUAUCAUGUUAGAGAAAUUUGCUUCACUAUACUAUAUCAUUUUUUUAAAUCUUAGUUUAAUACUCUCUGAUACAGCAAUUCACAAGUCUACUUCCAACUCUGGCUUAUUUUGAUUCUUUCAUGUAAUGGCUGUCAUAGCUGAAAAGGGACCUCACAGAGACCCAAUGGAGGCAGUGUCCUAUUGGCUAUACUUCCCAAAUCAAGCCAUUCAUUUCUCAAUCCCAUUCACUAAUUUACAGAGAUUUACUUAUUUUUCAUUGCUAGUCUGCAAAUGUACACUUAAAUGAAGGUCAUCCUUAAUAAUUAUGAAUGUGAACCCAUGAAACCUACUUCAUAAUUCUGAAUUUGUUUUGACAGAUUCUUUUCCACAGUUAGAGGGCCAUUGCUAUACCUGACAUUGUGGCUGACAAAAGAGCUCUUAUUAGGACUGGAAGUGUCAGUUCUACUUUUUCUUCUUUCUUUAUGCUCAUGUUAUUAUUAUUUUUUAAAUCUGAAGUUUAGAGGAAUCUUUUAACUCUACUUGUCUAUUUGGGAAGACACACUAAACUAGAUAAUAUAAUUUAUAAAUUCCCUCAACUAAGCACACAGAACUGUAAUACAUUGAAAUCUGCCAAAGAGAACAAAUCAGUGAGGGCACGACUGUAUUCCUUUGUGUCUUUUUCAAGACACCUUGAGUACUGUAAGUGACAGGGAGCCAUCUGAUGUACAGGCUGAAGGGGGCCACCAUCAACCUAGUAACCUAAACAGAAGUUCCAAUAUUUUCACCCUGCAGUCCACUUUGUAACCUUUUCUUAGCCUUCCACAAGAGUCUCCUAACUGGACUCCCUCCAUCCACUUCUGGGCACCUAAUGUCUCUACUACAGAUUAGAAAUUACUUUCACAGAAGGCCAUUUCUGAAACCCAAACUAGCUUAUGUGUUACCCUACAUUGAAAUUAUUCAGACGCUGUCUUCCCCAGUAAUCUGCAAGUUUCACAAAGGUAGAUGCCAUGUUCUUAAUGGUUUCCCAGCACAUAGCACAUAACAGAAGCUCAAUAAAUAUUUGUUGAAUGAAUAAAUGAGUAAACAGAAUAUUUUUACAGUUAAAUACCUUUAAUUCUUUUAUUUUUUUUAAAUUUCAAGUCCUUAGAGGAGGAAGAAUUGAAAAAAUAUGAAAUAUCAAAUAUACAUUUAGCUAAAUUUUUAAAGUUUAGUAGGCUAUAUGCAUAAAUCAAAUGAAUAGCAAUAUUUGGAACUGUAACUAUUUUUGGAAUCUUGUAUGAAUAAAUUACAAGUUUAAAACAUCAA